GGAAUUCACUAGCCAGACAUGGAGGAAGUCGGAUGUAUGGGGUCUGAAUUAGAGGUAACAGGCUACAUGGUAAAGAUGGCUGGCGGAUCCGAGACAGUUCUGUGAUACAAGUCAGAAACAAAUACUCAAUGAACCCAGCACCUCAAUAGGUGUGGAGGGCUGUGUCCAAAGAUGAAAAGGCCCAGCGGCCCCCAGUGAUGCUCAUGUUCAUCCUCUUGUGUGGAGGAUGGGGCUUGCUGCAAAGGGAGGUAAGUGUGAAGAGCCACGGAUGCUCCAGGCAUGGGGAGGUGCACGGGGGCCCUCUCCAGAAUCACUGCCAUUUGUCAGCAUUAAAACACACUCAUUGAGCAACUAAUUACACCUGGCUCUGCACUUCGGUUUUGGUU
rnacentral:lncRNA from 1 species